AGGAGGAACAACCGCAGUGGCGGGGCCAGCUCUGGAGCCCUGGAUUCCGCCCCCGCAGUAACUCCGGAGCUCUCUGUCUGCAGGGCCUGGAGGCUCCGGGGCGGG
rnacentral:pre_miRNA from 1 species